UUCUCCAGUUUUCUAAAAAGGUUGGUGAUUUUGAAUUGGGAUUAUGAUGAAUUUAACCCAAAGGCAAUGUGUGUUUAUUUAUGUGGCAAAAUUCCAGGCACCAUAAAAAUUUGAGUUUCUUCCUGUUGCCCAUGGAUGAAAAUCGGUUUGCAGAAUGAAAAGAAAUUGUUCAAUGUGAUAAACUUUCUAUGAACAGUCCUCAAUAUUGUUACAUUAACUUUUAUAAAUAUGCACUUUACAUCUUGAGGAGCAGGCCUUUGCAGAAAUACUGAAAAGCGGGUUGCAAAACAACGCAAAAUAAAAUAAACGAAAUAUGUCUUGAGAUUAAACAUUCAAGUUGAAGGUGUGUUCUUCCUUAAACUGGAAUGAUAAUUUUGUAAUUCUGUAGGCACAUCUAUUGAGAAGUUACAACCAGUGGCAAAGUGCCUUAAGGGAAUCUAUGACAUAUAUAAUUGAAGGGACAUCUCCUCUGAAGGAAUUACAAUUAUUUGCCAGUAUGUCAAAUGAAUUUUCAACAUCAGUCAUACUUUCAUUAAUUUAUUGAUGAAAAUAAAACUAGGUACAUGAUUUAUUUACUUCCAAGGGAUUCUAAGAUACUAUGUGUAAAAAGUCCAAUAUGCAGUGAUGAGCAUGCUAAUAACUGGCAAAAUAUGGGAUAUAAUGCCAAAGAUGGGAAACAUGGGAUGCAUUCUGAAGUAAAAAGAGAUGAAACUGAGAGAAAUUAUCGAUGUAAACAUAUAAAUUAACAUUACAUUACAUAGUUUCCCACCUUUAGACGUAUCAGAUGAGUAUGAGAACUGUCACUGUGACAGGAGAAUUUUAUAAAAUACUCCUGUCACAAAGGUGGGAAACUAUGUAAUGUUAUUGUCGGCUAAGAGUGUUAACCUGCUAACUUCAUUUUUCACUGUGAGUGAUAUUGGGGUAGUUUCUAGGUCUGUGUACCUUCAUACCAUGUCCCACAAGCCCGCUGGUUCCACUGUAGUUUAGAGAUAGCUAUUUCUAAACUACAUUGGUGUCGGCGGGUUUGUGGGGUGGUGUAUGAAAAUACACGGACCCAGAAACUAGCCCAAUAUCACUCAAAGUGAAAAAUGGAGUUAGCAGGUUAAAACUCUUAUCCAAGGUUAUGUUAAUUUAUUCGUUUAUAACGAUAAGUUCCACUUCUACCAGUUUCAUCUCUUUUUAUCUCACAAGUUAAUAUGUUUUCCAUCUUUUGCGUUAUUUUGCCGGUUAUUAGUGUGAGUGCUCAUUACUGUAUAUUUACGAUUCUGUGAUUUCUCAAUAUGAUGCUGAGUAGGUAUAGAUCUGAGUAGGUAUAUAGUAGGUAUCUACAACCCUUUCAAAAUAGAAAUUUAUAAGUUCAUUUUAUGUACCUAUUAAACUUUAUUUUAAGGAUGAAUUUGAAAUGCUUGUAGGGAAUAUAUCUGUAAACAAUAAAAUUGGUAUUGUAAAAUUGAAAUUCUCAAAAUAUAAUUUAUAAUUCGAAUGUA